UAUAGUUUAUUUGAUAGUACUUUUCUACUUGGAUAACCGUAGUAAUUCUAGAGCUAAUACAUGCAUCAAGACCCGACUGUUUACGGAAGGGUCGUAUUUAUUAGAUUGAAACCAAUGCAGGCUCUCGGGUCUGGUAUUGUGGUGAGUCAUAAUAACUAAGCGAAUCGUAUGGUCUUGUGCCGACGAUGAAUCAUUCAAGUUUCUGCCCUAUCAGCUGUCGAUGGUAGGGUAUUGGCCUACCAUGGCGUUAACGGGUGACGGAGAAUUAGGGUUCGAUUCCGGAGAGGGAGCCUGAGAGACGGCUACCACA
rnacentral:rRNA from 1 species